GCGAGAAUAGCUCAGUGGUAGAGCAUAACCUUGCCAAGGUUGGGGUCGGGAGUUCGAACCUCCUUUCUCGCUCCA
rnacentral:tRNA from 1 species